AGGGGCUUAGGUUAGAACUAGACCAAGGGCCUUCAAAGCCCUAAGCGAGGGUGAAAUUCCCCCAGCCCCUG
rnacentral:tRNA from 1 species